AAGCAAUAAUUAGGGCCGAAUUCUAUGUUUUGGACCCUUUCUUCAACAAGCAGCACUUUAAAACUCUUUUUUUUUUUUUUUUUCUUUUUUUUUUUUUCAACUCUUCUUUUUUUUCAUUCUAUUUUUCACGAAUCUUUCUUUUCUACUCGUGCCUUAUGAAUGAUUUUGGCAUACACACACACACAAGAAUCACUUCCCCCACACUUGUUUUCUGCCAUACAUUAAUCAAAAGGAAUUCAAUUUGACUCCUACUUCACUAUGCUUCAAGAACAAGGGUGGAUGGUCCUAAACUAGGAUAGGUAAGGAUAAUGUGGUUUAACAAAGAAUGUAGGCUAUCAAGGCUCAAUGGGGUUAACUUAAACAUAUAACGAUAUGGGAUACAUGGCAGUUUGGCUUUGGUGGUGGUAACUAUACAACUUCAUCUUGAAUAUGUUUUAUGCAAAUCAAUAGCAUGCUUUGAAUGAAAUAGGCAUGAGUUCUAGCAUUUGGAACUAAAUGAUGAAACGCCUUCUAAGUAAUAGCCAAGCAAAGAAUAAUGAAAUCAUGCAACGACUUUAGAAAACAAGAAUGCACAGAUUUUAACUCUCCAAAUAAACGUUUAAGCUCAAGUCUCACAAGGUUAUAGCGUUAGUUUGAGUUCUUUCCUUCAAGCAUGUUACAAAAAACUAAUUUUUUCUUUUUAUGAUUACAUGUGAUUUCAUAAGUUUAUAACCACAACCACGCAUAAAUAAAGAGUAAAUCAAACUUUCAUCCAUGUUUAUAACUCUCUUUAACAGUCAUGUAAUUACAAACCGAAUCCUCAUCAUUGUGUUGGAAGGUACCCUAAGACACAGAUAAGCGCACAAAAACAACUCCUUUUUUUUUUGAAUUUUCAAAAACAAUUUUUCAAAUUUUUAUGAAUUUUCGGAUUUUUUAUGUCAAAACACACUGAAACACUCCAAAACAGCUUAAAAAAAAUACUUAAAACAACAAGGAACAACACAAGAAGUAAUGGGUGAUAAAUUUCUACGAAUUUCAUGCAAAACAAUGGUUACCCCCCCACACUUAAAUCAAACAUUGUCCUCAAUGUUUCAAGCAUAUACUCACACCAAAAACAAGCAAAUAAUAAACGACAAAUAAACAUGACAAAUAUGGCAAAGUAAAAACCAGACAGAGUAGAGUUUAAGAACGCAAAUCUGGUUUUGGAGAUAGUUGAUCUUGUUGACUUUCCACAGCUUUGAUCUUGAACUGGAUUGGAAUUGUACGGCGAAGCUUUUCUCUUUGGCGAUGUUCCAAUUCCUUAUUUGUUCUCCAAGCAGAUGUGGCAGCUUCUCUAGUUCUUCAUUUCAGACUCCUUCCGUGGCCCCACCGACUGCUGAGACUCCGCCGACUACUGCGACUCCGCCGACUAUUACGACCUCUCCCAAACAGCCUUUGUGAAGGCUCUUCCUCUUGUAUUAUGUUAUGUUUCUUUAUUUCCCAGAUUCCUGUUCAUUUCAUGAAGUUUAAUGUCAAAAAUCCCUUGCAUAUUUGUUAAUAUUUCAAAAAUAGAAAGUCACAACCAAAAAUAAUUAAACAAGUAAGAAAAUUGACAAUCAAGCAGAAUAAAUGGGUUGCCUCCCUUAAAGCGCUUGCUUUAACGUCUUCCAGCCGGACGAUGAACACCUUCACUUCUCCUUGGAACCCACGGCAUGCAGUGGGAUCUCCUCCACAACAUGCUCCACAAAGUUCUCGUAGUAUGGUUUCAAGCGAUGUCCAUUCACUUUGAAUUCUUGCCCGGUUCUCAAGCUCUUAAUUUGGACUGCACCAUGCACAAAAAGAUUAGUAACAACAAACGGGCCAACCCAUUUGGAA
rnacentral:lncRNA from 1 species